rnacentral:rRNA from 1 species
AUGUAAUAUAAUUCCUAUAACGUUAAUGCAUCAGAUCCCAUUAUAACUCCAUAGUUAAGUGUGCUUGGGCUAGAGUAGUACUAGGAUGGGUGACCUCUCGGGAAGUCCUAGUGUUUUACAUU